GAUAAGGAUGAUUGAGGAAGAGUACUCUGGCUUGUUCACAGCAGCACAGCUGACACACCCAGAUAUCUGUGGUGUCCUGUGAACUUUCAACCAGGAUUUAAGGAUGCCAUUUUCGUUAAAAGCUGAAGCAACUUCAGGGAAACCUCAGGGAAAAAAGAAGGGCUGGAGUCAGAUCCUCCACUUCAGAGAAUAGGGGUCAGCUUACGUAUGAUUAAGUAACACAAGGCACAGUAGCCAUCUUUUUCAUUAUGUUGCAACACUGAUCACGUGCCUCGAUAAAAUGGCUGAUUUAACAAGAUGAUGGCAACACGAAGGGGAGACUUUGGAUUGUCUAUUUAAAAUCUAGGUAAUAAGCAAUUAAUAAAAACUCUAUCUUAAGUGCACUUUCACAUGCUUUUUGUUUAUAAUAAACAACAAACUUCCUAACUUUGUUGUAAUAGGCUUGACUACCAUUUCAUUUGGCCAAAUGCACUUUCCCCAGUAAACUUAAAAUAACAACAA